UGCGGGAUGGAGCAGUCCGGUAGCUCGUCAGGCUCAUAACCUGAAGGUCGUAGGUUCAAAUCCUACUCCCGCAACCA
rnacentral:tRNA from 9 species